ACAAGAUUGUACCCUGGUUGCCUGGCUUCUGUUCCCCUGACCCCUUUUUAAUUUUUUCUUAAAUAUUUAUUUUUGUGUAGCAAUGUUUUGCUUGCAUAUAUAUGUGUGGGCACUAAAUGCAUGCCUGUGGAGGUCAGAGGAGAGUAUCUGAUUGCUUGGAACUGGAUGUAUGGAUGUUUGGUUGUAAGACACCCAUGUGAGUGCUGGGAAUUGAACCCAGGCCCUCUUAAUCCUUAAGCCAUCACUGGCCCUGUCCCUUUCCCUUUUUUUCAAGACAGCCUCUAAUCAUUAAGCCUCAGAGAUAGCAAAAGUGCAGAGUCUAUCCCCCUCUCCCCCAAAUAGCAGAGUGGAGCUGAGCAGAGCCUUAGCCACACCUUGGCAUUCUCUAUGCUAGAGGGACUCCUGGAUAGCUGCAUUCCCUUGAGAGAGAUGAUAACAAGCACUCUUUUAUAAAACACCCAGGUACUCUAUGGGCCCCAAACCGUUCCUCCUUCUGCCAUAGCUGUCUAUUGAGCUGGGCAUCUGUAUAGCCAGUUGAGAUCACCAUUGCUUGGGAGGUAGUUAAAAGAGUGACUAGGAUGUCGAGUUGUGUGGGGUUGGGAUGCAGUCGGUGUAUAAGGGGCAUAGACACGGCCUCUGUAGACUCAGAUUAUGUCAGAAGGAGGGGAUGACAACAGAGACACCGUGAACUAUUCAGCCGUUUGUGAGGGCCCUCAUAGAGAUGAAGUCUUGUGCUUCUCUCACUGUGGACAACAAAGACGCAUGGCCAGCUUCUGGCAGAGCCAGGGUCUUCUCAUGAGAACAGAUGCCUGGGCCCUAGAAUCCUCAAAGAGUCUCCUAACAAAACAUGCCCUUCAUAGAAAAGUAUCUCUCCCAGGCCACCCUCAGAUGAUUUGAGAUGAGGCCAGAGUCUCCACAUGGCAUCCAGGAGCUAGAGUUUCUACCCAUAACUCAGAAACUGAAGUGAGCAGAUCUGGCCUUCAUAAAGGACUUUAUUCUAGGUUUUUCAAAGCAUUAUAAAUAGUUCCCAGGCUCUGGGAUUUAAUGAACUAGUAAAUUCUAAGUGAAUGUUUCAGUGACCCACAUAACUCGCCUGCCUCGUACUUUCUCAAGGAAGAACAUAGGACUGUGGUGUCUGGGAGCUUGGACUUAAUAGAGCUGCCAUUUAGUACCUACUGUGUGCAGGUAGUCUGAGCUAGGGCCUUUCCAGCUACCUCAUUUCAUCUUCAGACAUCACUGCGAGGUAAGCUUUAUCCUUCAAUUGCAGGUGAGGAGAGGCUCAGAGAGGCUGAGGAAACUAUCAGAUGCAGCUGAACCGUGUUUAGAAUUCAGGUCAGUUUGAUUGCAAAGCUUGUUGUGCCUUUCACAUUAUAUUGCUCAUUGCCUCUUAAGUUUGUGUAAAGUAUUCUGAUAAUUUUAUUUUUCUUUUCACACGGGGGAUCAAACUCAGAGUUCAUACCUUCUAGGCAAGUACUCUAAUGCUAUGCUACAUCCCUAGGCCCAGAUCUGAUUUUAAACUUCUGAAUUUGUUAUCUUUUGAGAUAGGGUUUUAUGUAGCAUAGGUUGGCCUUGAAUUCACCUUAAGCUUUCCCAUAAUCAUUCUAUUACUACCUCCUGAAUGCCGGGACCACAGGCAAGCCUACAGCCAGGUCUGACUUGCCUGCAAAGUUUUAAUGAGACAAGAGAAUAGGUAGAAAUUGAACAUGAGUCUUGUCUUUGUAAGUAAGGCUUUUUGUUUUGGUUUUUUUUAGGGGGUGGGUUGUAUUUGUGUGUGUGUGUGUGUGUGUGUGUGUGUGUGUGUGUGUGUGUGUGUGUGU
rnacentral:lncRNA from 1 species